CCUACGGGGGGCAGCAGUGAGGAAUAUUGGUCAAUGGGCGGGAGCCUGAACCAGCCAAGUCGCGUGAGGGAAGACGGUCCUAUGGAUUGUAAACCUCUUUAGGCGGGGAGCAAUGCCGGGCACGCGUGCCCGGAGGUAGAGUACCCGCAGAAUAAGCAUCGGCUAACUCCGUGCCAGCAGCCGCGGUAAUACGGAGGAUGCGAGCGUUAUCCGGAUUUAUUGGGUUUAAAGGGUGCGUAGGCGGAUUUUUAAGUCAGCGGUAAAAUGUCCGGGCUCAACCCGGGCCGGCCGUUGAAUCUGGGGAGCUUGAGUGGGCGAGAAGUAUGCGGAAUGCGUGGUGUAGCGGUGAAAUGCAUAGAUAUCACGCAGAACUCCGAUUGCGAAGGCAGCAUACCGGCGCCCGACUGACGCUGAGGCACGAAAGCGUGGGGAUCGAACAGGAUUAGAUACCCCUGUAGUC
rnacentral:rRNA from 1 species